rnacentral:rRNA from 1 species
UGAAGUUAGCAAAGGGAAAGUUCAGUUGUGCUGGCGCGAAAUCAACCUUCUCGUCUUGGGAUCACAUGGCGUGGCGAGCCUCAAAACCGUCACGAAGCGUGAACUCUUGGUGAAAUGGAGCACUUUCGUGUCCGCUGGUUAACAUCAAUUUCGAACGUCAUAAAAAGGCUGGAGGGAUGUGGCUCCUUCGGGAGUGUUAUAACCUUUAGCGGAAUGUGGUGGUCGGGAUUGAGGAUUGCAACGAAUACCUUUAGGGCUGUUCCACCUGGCCUCUCUCUGGUAUCCUGGUGACGACAGCUUGCUGACGUCGUUAGGAUCCGCCUUUGAACGGGCUAGAGUGUGAGCAAA